rnacentral:rRNA from 1 species
CAGUCGCCACGGUAAUACGAAGGGUGCAAGCGUUACUCGGAAUUACUGGGCGUAAAGCGUGCGUAGGUGGUGGUUUAAGUCCGUUGUGAAAGCCCUGGGCUCAACCUGGGAAUUGCAGUGGAUACUGGGUCACUAGAGUGUGGUAGAGGAUAGUGGAAUUUCCGGUGUAGCAGUGAAAUGCGUAGAGAUCGGAAGGAACAUCUGUGGCGAAGGCGACUAUCUGGGCCAACACUGACACUGAGGCACGAAGGCGUGGGGAGCAAACAGGAUUAGAUACCCCUGUAGUCCCUGUCUCUUAUAC